rnacentral:rRNA from 1 species
UACGUAGGUGGCAAGCGUUGUCCGGAUUUAUUGGGCGUAAAGGGCGCGCAGGCGGCUGCUCAAGUCAGGCGUGAAAGGCCUGGGCUCAACCCGGGAAUUGCGCUUGAGACUGGGCUGGCUUGAGUGUGGGAGAGGAUGGUGGAAUUCCCAGUGUAGAGGUGAAAUUCGUAGAUAUUGGGAAGAACACCGGUGGCGAAGGCGGCCAUCUGGACCGCAACUGACGCUGAGGCGCGAAAGCGUGGGGAGCAAACAGG